AUUGAACGCUGGCGGAAUGCUUUACACAUGCAAGUCGAACGGCAGCACGGGGGCAGCCCUGGUGGCGAGUGGCGAACGGGUGAGUAAUACAUCGGAACGUGCCCGGUCGUGGGGGAUAACGUAGCGAAAGUUACGCUAAUACCGCAUACGGUCUGAGGAUGAAAGCGGGGGACCUUCGGGCCUCGCGCGAUCGGAGCGGCCGAUGUCAGAUUAGGUAGUUGGUGGGGUAAAGGCCUACCAAGCCGACGAUCUGUAGCUGGUCUGAGAGGACGACCAGCCACACUGGGACUGAGACACGGCCCAGACUCCUACGGGAGGCAGCAGUGGGGAAUUUUGGACAAUGGGCGCAAGCCUGAUCCAGCCAUUCCGCGUGCAGGACGAAGGCCUUCGGGUUGUAAACUGCUUUUGUACGGAACGAAAAGGCUCUGGCUAAUACCUGGGGCUCAUGACGGUACCGUAAGAAUAAGCACCGGCUAACUACGUG
rnacentral:rRNA from 1 species